GACUUGUCAAUCUGAGAUCGAAAGAGUUCAGUGAAACAUAGAAAAGCAUAAUUUCAGACUUUAAAAACAGCCUAGAUUUCUGAGAGGGACCUAUCUGAAGAAAAUGUACUCUUAGAAAUGUGAAGCUCAGGACAUCACUUUCAGAAGAAAAUAAUCUCUCCAAUACCUUUCCUGACACUGCAGAUAUUCAUUGACCCAGACAACGUAUUUCUUCCUUGUACAUGGAUAAGAAGAGUCUGCAUAAAUCUUAACAUCGAUGAGGAGAGACCCUACAAAUGUGGAAAGAAAUUAUAUGACAGACUAAUAGGAAAGCAAGCUGGAAGACAGUGGAGCCCAAAAUUCCUGGCAGGAAUCGAGACAUCUCCUCAGGUCUUUGCUAUUCUACAGAUGCAUCCAUUUACUGGAAAUAACUUGACAGAAUUCUGCCCCAUCAUUUUGGGAAUUAUCACAUUAAAACCAGGAAACAAAGGGGCGAGAGUGACUCCAACAACAGGCAUGGAUUUUGGACUCUGCUGACACACCUUUUGCAGCUGCAUGAUAGGGUUCAGCACUUAAGAGAGUCUUACUGCUAGUUCUUGGAUUUUAUUUUGUCCUUGCAUUGGUUUGUUGAUUACUUGUUCAAAAAACAAUGGUGGUGGUAAUGUUCCUAUUCAUGUCACCUUUCUUUGAAAGUUUCUGAGAAUCAACAGAAGCCAGUCUAUUUUUCCGUUGUUUACUGUAUCUCAUUAAUUCCCCAGUCCUAUACUGAUAUGCUUGCCAAAGUUCUCACAGGUUUUGAAAUAGCUUCUUAAUUUACUGUGGGUUUAAGUACACAAAACUAAACAAUUUGGCAAGUACAGUACGCUAACAGAUUUUAAUAAGUUCAGAUAUAAGAGCAUGUCUAUCAAUAACACAUUUCUGCAGACCAGAGGAUGAAUUGCAUUCUUCUAUAACCAGGUUUAGUGAUACCAUUUAGAUACACUGCUUGUAAUAUAGAAGGAAGCACUUGCUCCUUUCUGGAGUCAUUUAUUUAUGCUCCAAUUUAAUUGUAAUAAUUGGUCAGGGAGCAUCAUCCUCAGCCUUUGGGGCUGCACUCCUGUCUGCAAAUGUAGAUGCAUGAAUGUGGAUAUUCUCCAGAAGAUGUGCUAGCACAAUAAGACCAGAAAAAAAAACACCUAUCAUUCUGAAGAUUAAUAUUCUCUUAAUAAUCACAAUGUAGGCUGUGCAGAAGAACCACCGGUUAGAUCAUGCUAGACUAUAUAGUAACAAUAUAAUUUUAAAGCAGUCUCUCCAUGCACAAAGUGCACGUACAUGCUAUACAUUAGUCAUAACUCAGUACACAUUACAAAAAUGUGGAUAACUUAAAUUUUGAGGUUUUCUUUGUAUCAUUUACAUGCCUUUAGAGCCACUUAACAGUUAAAACCUGGUUCCUGAAAGUUGCUAGAGGUACAGCUAUGUGAUCUAUGAAGUAUAAAAGAAAAAAUAAUGUAAAAUUAAACAUGAAAUUAAAUUGAUCUCCUUGUUGACAUGAAGCCAGCCAAAAAGGUCUAUUAUUUUUUACACAACAGUGCUUGUGUUUAACUGGAGAACAGAGUCAUGGUACUGUACCCGAACCUUUCCCUGGAAAAAACGUAUGUAGUAUCAUUAUUCCUUAAAAAAAGGUGUUAAGGCUUACAAUCGGCUUUGGAGUCACAUUGAAUAACAGUAGAAUAGCUAAAAGCAAACCAGACCCUUUGCUGGUUUCACCUGACAGGUCUCACGCUGCUUCCAGAGUCCCAGUACGGCUGUACAGUAGAGCUCUAAUAGUUCACGCAUUGGGCAGCUCUGCAGCCCAGCAGUCCUGGGUACAGUUCAGGUGAACACAGCUCUCCAGCACAGCGCCUUAAAUGAAAAGCACAUUUAUACUAAAUAUACUACUUCGGGAUGUGACUGGGUUACAAUGAUAAUACUUGAAGGUUAUGACAGGUAAUGACAAAGUAAUAACAAUACUUGAAACAGAUCGAGAGCAUUAAAAAAAAAAAAAGGAAAACCAAAAAAACCCCACCCCAGAAUAAAGGAGGAAACACUCAGUUUUUCCUUAUCAAUGGGACAUGUAGGUUUAGAGCAGUUCACUGCACUAGCUGCAUGCCCAACCACUCAAAGGUGUCCCAUUAGCGGGCUUAGACAUAUGCCUUCAGAAGAAGCAUGAAAGCAACAUAUCCUUUUCAUGUAUGAUGAAAGAACCUGGUGCUUCUGUCACACUCAGAUGUUACCCUGUGCUGGUCUUGCUUGGGAUACAGUGCAGCUUCUUCACAGUAGCUGGUAUGGUGCUGUGUUUUGGAUUUGUGCUGGAAACAGUGUUGAUAACACAGGGAUGUUUUGAUCAUUGAAAACAGAGUCAAAGCCUUUUCUUUCUGCUCCUCACACCACCCUGCCAGCGAGUAGGUCAAGGGUGUACAAGAAGCUGGGGGGCAAUACAGUCAGGACAGCUGACCCCAACUGACUAAAAGGAUUUUCCACACCAUAUGGCACCAUGCUCAGCCUAUAAAGCCAGGGGUUUGUCUUUCCAAGUAACCAUUACAUGUGAUGGAGCCCUGCUUUCCUGGAGAUGGCUGAACACCUGCCUGCCAAUGGAAAGUGAGGAAUGAAUUCCUUGAUUUGCUUCACUUGCGUGUGCAGCUUUUGCUUAAAAUAACCUGCCUUUCUCUCAACCCACAAGUUUUCUUACUUUCAGCCUUCUGAUUCUCUCCCCCAUCCACUGCAGGGAAGUGAGUGAGGGGCUGUGCUUGCAAUGGCAACACCAUCCAAGGGCUCUGGGAAAGCUCUGUGGCUGCUUAUUGGGUUUGUUUUGCUGGAAUAGUCUUCUCUCCCAAAGCCCCUUCAUUUCAGUUCUGCAUCCAAGUUUGUAAAGCAAGACACAGUGAAGUGAUUGAGUGUCCGUGAAAUUCAGGGAAUGGGAAACAGAGACCAAAAAUAAUUAAGUCAAUUUCUUAAUAAAGGAGAAUGCUGAUUCCCCCCCCGCUUUGAUUUUUUAGAGUUCAAUGCUGAAAAGAAAAUGUUCAAAGUGCUUUAUUUAAAUUAGAAUCCCAUAACAAUCCCUUUGAAUAUAUUCAAAACAUGUUUAUAUUAACAUACUAGAAAUACACACUGUUAUGGAACAAGUUUCAAAUACUACAGCCAUGAUAGAUCAUGGAAGAAGUUAAAUAGCCUUGAUU